GCCAGGCGUGGUGGCGUGCGCCUGUAAUCCCAGCUACUCAGGAGGCUGAGGCAGAAGAAUCACUUGAACCCAGGCACCAGAGGUUGCAGUGAGCCGAGAUUGCGCCACUGCACUCCAGCCUGGGCAACAGAGUGAGACUCUGUCUCAA
ensembl:misc_RNA Metazoa_SRP Metazoan signal recognition particle RNA